AAAGGGACUUAGCUUAGAGUAAAUUGAUCACAUACAAACACGGAAAUAUAAAUUAAACUACUCAUUGUUUCUUAAAUAUCCGAAAAGAUAUUAGAGAGGCUUGUAGGCCGUGGUCCAUAAAAUUUAGAUGUAAUUUCGUCGGAUCUUUAAGUAAGGGGUGGUCCUUCGAUUCGGAUUCACCUAACAGGAGGCCUGUGCAGUAGGCCUUAAGGAAGUUAUAUUGCCAAUCUUGAGAAUUCAAGGAAAAACGUACGAAAUUCGAGUAUUUCAAAUAUACACUGAAUUGAU